GACAGAGGGUGCAAACGUUGUUCGGAUUUACUGGGCGUAAAGCGCGUGUAGGCGGCUUUGCAAGUCGGAUGUGAAAGCCCACGGCUCAACCGUGGAAGUGCAUCCGAAACUGCAUGGCUGGAGUCCCGGAGAGGAAGGUGGAAUGCUUGGUGUAGAGGUGAAAUUCGUAGAUAUCGAGAGGAACACCUGCGGCGAAGGCGGGUUGCUGGGCUGACACUGACGCUGAGGCGCGAAAGCUAGGGGAGCGAACGGG
rnacentral:rRNA from 1 species